GACGAACGCUGGCGGCGUGCUUAACACAUGCAAGUCGAACGGAAAGGCCCUGCUUUUGUUGGGUGCUCGAGUGGCGAACGGGUGAGUAACACGUGAGUAACCUGCCCUUGUCUUUGUGAUAACUUCAGGAAACUGGGGCUAAUACCGGAUAUGAUCUCCUGCUGCAUGGUGGGGGUUGGAAAGUUUCGGCGGUUGGGGAUGGACUCGCGGCUUAUCAGCUUGUUGGUGGGGUAGUGGCUUACCAAGGCUUUGACGGGUAGCCGGCCUGAGAGGGUGACCGGCCACAUGGGGACUGAGAUACGGCCCAGAAUCCUACGGGAGGCAGCAGUGGGGAAUAUGGCACAAUGGGCGGAAGCCUGAUGCAGCAACGCCGCGUGCGGGAUGACGGGCUUCGGGUUGUAAACCGAUGUGGCAUGUGACGAAGCGUGAGUGACGGUAAUGGGUAAAGAAGCACCGGCUAACUACGUG
rnacentral:rRNA from 1 species